UCCUUGUCGGGUAAGUUCCGACCCGCACGAAAGGCGUAACGAUUUGGGCACUGUCUCAACAACAGACUCGGUGAAAUUGUAAUUCCGGUGAAGAUGCCGGAUGCCUGCGACAGGACGGAAAGACCCCAUGGAGCUUUACUGUAGCUUGACAUUGGGUCUUGGUACUACAUGUACAGGAUAGGUGGGAGGCUUUGAAACCAGGACG
rnacentral:rRNA from 1 species